GACUAUGCAGGGAGUAUAAAUCAAAAUUAAUAUUUAUUUGAAAAGUAAUAUUAUAAAAAUAUUUGAAAUACCAUGAUUUUCUUAAUCUAGCAAAAUUGCCAUUUACUUAUUGUUACUCAUAAACUUACCACGCAUGCAUAUAGUUUUAGAAAGUCUUUAAACUCCAGAUAACUUGAUUCUUUAUUUAUUUAUGUGCAUGCCCUAGAGUAUUCCAUAAAUACCAAGUCAACUGAUUUGGCAUCUGUGUCCACCUGGCCCUUAUUGAACUCUUUUAGAUAAAUCAUGGGGAGUUGGGUAAAGAAAGUGGAUGGGUGGAUUGGUGGAUGGAUGGAUGGAUAGAUGGAUAGAUGGAUGGAUAAAUUUCAGGGCAUUUUCACACUUCUCCUGCAGUUGUAUUAGGAAAACUCUAUCUUAAUCAUUUUUGUGAUAUUGAGGUUUGCAAGGAUAUUUAUGUCCUUGGGAGAUAAUGUGAAGAAAGACAAUUGCCUAGUCACAAAAAUAUCUGCAGUUGCUGUGUAAGAUCUUAAUGCAUUGUCUAUUUAACUUAUUAUCUAUAUUAGCAAAUAGAUAACAAUAGUAAGAGUAAAUAGUCCUUUUUAUUUAGUCAGGAAAACCACCUUAUUAUAGAUAGAGGAAAGCAAAUAUUUAAAUUUGUGUCACCUUUUGCCUUGUAAUUGGUAGUAUGAGUAAAUACCCUUACUUGCUAGUAUUUAGACUCAAACAAACAAACAAACAAAAAAUUCCAAAUGUUGGAAGUCAGUGGACUCUGCCAGAAUCACUUGGGAUGACAGACAUGAG
rnacentral:lncRNA from 1 species